CAACUGUACGUAAUAAAAUAAAUAAGAUAAACAAAUAAUAAAAAAUAUAACAAAUAUAACAAAAUUGUAUAAAAAAUAAUUUUUUUGUAGUAUGAAAAGCUGCCCAGUACAAGCUGGACUGUAAAUGAAUUGAAGACUUGGUUGAAACAAAGAAAUAUUCCCCACGUUGACAGUUGCAACAAAGAGCAACUUUUAAACUUGUGUGGUUUAUUAAAAAAAAAUAUGGAAAAGAAGUAUAUAAUUGAUGAACAUGUUGCUCAAAAUACAGAGCAUAUGAUUUUAAGACUGCCACCAUAUCAUUGCAAAUAUAAUCCGAUUGAAAUGGCGUGGGAAAUUGCAAAAAGACACUUCGACAAACACAUUGGUAUUUUUCAUAAGUAUUCUGAUGAAAAUGUCAAAAAAGUGUGGGCAGAAGCAUUAAAUCAGGUGACACCAGAAGUAUGGAAAAAGAUUUGUGCCAAAGUAGACAGAAAAAUAGUCAGGCAUUAUAAUAAAUAUGUAUUAGGAUUAACCAAAGAUCAAAGAAAAAAUGGAGAGGGAAAAUAUGAAGAUCCUUCAACUUCAUCAUCUGAAGAAGAAGUGGCAUCAACAUGUGGUUCUGAUAGUAGUAGUGAAUCAGAAAUAGAUGAUGAAAAAAUCCAAAAAAAUUCUAUGGAAGACAUAAUGAAUGAAUUUGAAUUUAAGAAACUUGAUGAAAAUUCAGAAUACACAACACAGCCUCUUUUUGAAAAUGAAUCAGUGAACAUGGAAGUAGAUGUCUCAAUUGAUGAGCCUCCAUGUAUCCAUUUAAAUAAAAUAUAUCAGCCACUUGAACAAACUAUAGAUUCACCAGCUCAAAUAAAUUAUAAUGAUAAUGAAAUAUCAGCAGCAGAUUUAUCAACUUUAGAAUCAACAAACUGGCUGAAUGAUAAAAUUAUAAAUAAAUAUUUUCAAUUAAUCAUGGAAACAGAUUCAGAAUUAAUUUAUUCAAUGAAUUCUUUUUUUUAUAAAAAGCUGGAAAAUUCAAGUUAUGACGAAAUAAAAAGAUGGACUAAAAAGGUCAAUAUUUUUUCAAAAAAAUUUAUACUCAUACCUAUACACUUACGUGACCACUGAGCAGUUUGUAUUUUGAAUAUUGCUUGCAAAAUGAUCUUGUAUUACGACAGUCAAGGUCGUGAAAAUCAAGGAAUUUUAAAUACAAUCUAUCAAUUUGUGGGUAAUGAAUAUCAUGAGAGACAUAAGAAUUCCU